rnacentral:rRNA from 1 species
GUAGGUGGCAAGCGUUGUCCGGAAUUAUUGGGCGUAAAGCGCGCGCAGGCGGUCCUUUAAGUCUGAUGUGAAAGCCCACGGCUCAACCGUGGAGGGUUAUUGGAAACUGGGGGACUUGAGUACAGAAGAGGAAAGCGGAAUUCCAAGUGUAGCGGUGAAAUGCGUAGAGAUUUGGAGGAACACCAGUGGCGAAGGCGGCUUUCUGGUCUGUAACUGACGCUGAGGCGCGAAAGCGUGGGGAGCAAACAGGAUUAGAUACCCUGGUAGUCCACGCCGUAAACGAUGAGUGCUAAGUGUUAGGGGGUUUCCCGCCCCCCUUAGUGCUGCAGCUAACGCAUUAAGCACUCCGCCUGGGGGAGUACGGCCGCAAGGCUG